rnacentral:rRNA from 1 species
GUGAGGAAUAUUGGUCAAUGGGCGAGAGCCUGAACCAGCCAAGUCGCGUGAGGGAAGACGGUCUUACGGAUUGUAAACCUCUUUUGCCGGGGAGCAAAGGGCGUCACGCGUUGCGUUUCGAGAGUACCCGGAGAAAAAGCCUCGGCUAACUCCGUUCCAGCUGCCGCGGUAAUACGGAGGAUGCGAGCGUUAUCCGGAUUUAUUGGGUUUAAAGGGUGCGUAGGCGGGCCGGUAAGUCAGCGGUAAAAUAGCGGGGCUCAACCCCGUCGAGCCGUUGAAACUGCCGGUCUUGAGUGGGCGAGAAGUGCGCGGAAUGCGUGGUGUAGCGGUGAAAUGCAUAGAUAUCACGCAGAACCCCGAUUGCGAAGGCAGCGCACCGGCGCCCAACUGACGCUGAAGCACGAAAGCGUGGGGAUCGAACAGG